GAACGAACGCUGGCGGCAUGCCUAACACGUGCAAGUCGAACGAGACCUUCGGGUCUAGUGGCGCACGGGUGCGUAACGCGUGGGAACCUGCCCUUAGGUUCGGAAUAACUCCCAGAAAGGGGUGCUAAUACCGGAUAAUGUCUUCGGACCAAAGAUUUAUCGCCUUUGGAUGGGCCCGCGUUGGAUUAGCUAGUUGGUAGGGUAAAAGCCUACCAAGGCGACGAUCCAUAGCUGGUCGGAGAGGAUGAUCAGCCACACUGGGACUGAGACACGGCCCAGACUCCUACGGGAGGCAGCAGUGGGGAAUAUUGGACAAUGCGCGAAAGCCUGAUCCAGCAAUGCCGCGUGAGUGAUGAAGGCCUUAGGGUUGUAAAGCCCUUUUACCCGGGAUGAUAAUGCCAGUACCGGGAGAAUAAGCCCCGCCUAACUCCGUG
rnacentral:rRNA from 1 species